rnacentral:lncRNA from 1 species
AUGAGAAAAACACACAAAAAACUUUUUUUGGUAUUUUGCUUCAAACGAAAAUCACAGGAACAACAAAAAAAACUCUUAUUUCUUUUUCUCCUUAUUCUUGUUUCGAUUGGUAGCAGGAAGGUCUUGGCCUCUUGGGUCACUCUUAUUUCUUUUUCUCCUUCUGCUUUUCUAUUUUCUGGCUCAAUUAUGAUGUUGGUGAUGUUGGUUUCGAUAGUGAGCAGGUAAGGGUGAUUUGAUGGAGGCUGGAAAUAUUCAUUUGUGAUGGGUUCGUGGAGAGUGUAACGGAGCAGGUAAGUAAAUUUCUCAGAUUUUGUUUUCAUUUGCAACAGGACUGACAGGUGUAUGGUGUUUCAGGUGAGUUUGGUGGUGAAGUUUUGAAGGCUCAAACAGAUAAUGAGUNUAGA